rnacentral:lncRNA from 1 species
GAGAGAGAGGGAGGGAGGCUGGGCAAAGAGCAUCUGUUCCUUCCAUUCUCCCAGCUCUAUCGGCUGCCAACCUAAGGCCAUCGUCUGCCUCCAUCAUCCCUCCACCCGCCUGCCCGCCCGCCUACCCACCCAAUCCCAAACGGGUGCUGGAUCAGGUGCCGAAUCUGGCUGCCUCCUCGGGUAGACCCGUCACUAUGCAUUGCUGUGUGUCUGCCACCGCUGCCUGGCACUCAUGGGGCCGUGUGUGUGUGUGUGUGGUGUGUGUGUGUGUGUGUGUGUGUGUGUGUGUGCGUGUACAUGUACGCAUAAGCGCAUGCUGUAUGUGAGCCUCCUGGGCAUGGGUGGGGGUUGGCACUGCGGUUGCCAAUCUAGUGUCCAACCAGAAGGACAGAGGGAUAGAGUGGAAGAAGGAGGGGAGAGGUUUGGGGCCUGGGAGGGCAGAACAGGGCGCAUGAGUUGCUUCAUGCUGCCUGCUUACAGGCAUUGGCACUGCAGCUGCCACCCUUGUGCCCGCGGAGAUGGGAGGAGGCGAUUGGGGAGGGGGGGUCGCAGUAGGAGUCCUAGUGCUCUGACAGGAAGGAUUGCUACCCGGGGGCCAUUGGCAUCACACCCGUCAGGCUGGUGCCCUGAGCUGGGGCAGUGGGAGCAGGGGCCCCAGGAGGCAGAGAGGAGGGACAGGGGUAUGUCAAUGAUUCCUUGUCCCUCUGGAGCUUAGCUCUGAGAAACGGUUGGACUAUGAGAUAGUUAGCCUUCUUCCAGUCUGGGAAAGUAAAGUGGUGGAAAGACUGGCCAGGGAAGUGCCAAGAAAUUGUCUAAGAGCCAGGAGAAGGGAUUGUGCCACUGCUCCCUGGGGAGAGCUCCUCAGGGCUGUCAGUCUGGCCCUUUGUGAAAAGCAAGGGGUGCCGGUGUGAGGCAUGGAUGCUGGCACUCCCUAAAGAGCCUGGCACAGGAUGUGGCAUUGUGUGGAAUGGAGGAGGGUGGUAGUGCCUCUUGCCAAUCUGGUUGAGAAGAUUUCUGUGCCAGGGGUGAGAAGGACAGUAAGGUGUGUGUGUGUGUGUGUGUGUGUGUGUGUGUGUGUGUGUAUGAGAGUGAGCUGUUUGAGAGGAUAGACUUUUUCUGCCAGGACCUCCUUCCUGUUCCCUCUUAGACUGGAGAGUGGAACAACAGACGGAGAGAGGCGUGAGGACACAAAGGAGGAAGCGCGGCCAUUGCCAAGACCCCAAGGAAGAAGGAUGGAGAGCGCUGGCAGUCCUGUCUGGCCCCCGGCCAGUUUCCUGCUGAAGAUGGCCAAAUCCUCUUGCCUGGUCUGUGUAUGUCACUGGGCCAGUGUGGUGGGGGUGGGGGUGGGGCUUGCUUGCUAAGCUGGGAUCUGGAAUGGGAAGGGCACUUUUCUAUGGAUCCCAUUUGGACUUUCCACUCUAACAAGUGAGGUAUCUGAUUUUCUCCCUGGUGCCUUCCUCUCCUCCCUCCCUCUCCCCUCCACCCCUCUUUCAUCUCUCUAUCACCAUCUGGGUCCUACUGCUUGGCACCCAACCAACUAGAUGCUGCCACGCUUGGCAGUGCUGCACUGGCACGUGAACAGUGUCUCAGAUCCUGGCACUGCGGCAAACCCAAAGCCGCCAAACAUGCUCACGACCGCCACUUGGCGGCAGAGAGAGGGGGGGUGGUGCACAUGGGCAUGCCCGGCAUCAGGCAGAGCUCUGUGCUGGGGAGUGGCAUGAGAAGGAACCCCCAACAGCCUGCUGCAUCGGUACUCUCCAGCCAACCCCAACUAGACACCCACCUCCCUCCUACCUCACUGUCCCCAAGAAAGGGAUUUAGCUGCUACCAUACUCAGUGCUUGAGCAGCUAUCUCAAGGGAAGCUGGAACACAGAGGGACAAGGGCACAGGCAAGAAGCCAAGUCUGGGGCUCCAGGCCAGUGGUCUAUAACACCUCCCUGGACAGUGAGGACAGAAAAAAUACCAGCAGGGUGAAUGAGAGCUGUAGAGAGGCCAGCCAGCUAUGUUGUCACAAAACUGGUGUCAGAAGAGAUUGGAAGAGAAAUAGGAAGGAGGGACCCUCAGGCCUUGCUUUUGGGUAUGGGGUGGUUUGUGCCUGUAUGUAUUUCAUCUGCCUUGUGAUUGGCUGAGCUAUGGUUGAGAUGAAUCAGUUCUUUCUCCCUUGUUAAAAGGCCCAUAUUCAAUAAUAGUCCUAGAAAAAUGAAGAGGUUGCUCUAGGCCUAGAGAGGUAGGCAGAUACAAGAAAGAUAAAGUCUUGUCCUUCCAAAAAUACUAUUUGGGGAGAUUCAGUGUUUAGAAAUUUCUCAGUGGUACCCCAGUUAGGUAGAAUUUGGAUAAAUGUCCAUGUCUUUGAAAUCCAUCCCUGGAAGGGAAACCACAGAUCAGCAAUGAGCCCUCAUAAAGAGGAAGGCUUCUAGCAGGAGCGUCCCCAGCAUCUGUGGUGACACAGACAACCCCUGUGACUCCAGAAGCAAUGCCUCAAAACUGGGCCUUGGGCCUUCAUCUGGAAGAACUUCUAGUAGGUUGGGCUUUCCUUGCUUUCUAGGUAGCUAGAAGCUGUGGAUUAGUAACUAGGAAGAGAUUCAGGUAGAUUUGGCUGGGUGAUGUUGAGGGAGGCUGGAUGGCUCUGAUGGAAGAUAGGACCUGCCCAGAGGAAAGCCGAGCCAUUGCCAUGCUGGACUGAGCUGCUUAGGGUUGGGGCAGUUCUGGUUUCAGCCUUUAUGGAAGUGGAUGCCAGCUUCAGAAGAAGGGAGAUGAUCCCCACAGCAGAGGAAAAAGCAGGGAGACACUCAGUGAGAUGGGUGAGUGGACAAUGUUUCUUUUCUUCUGUUCAAGAAUAGCCAACUUAAGCAGAAGACACAGUCAGAUUUCCCAGAUGUUGGAGGUGGGAGUGACAGCAGGGUAAUCUGAGGUGAUGCUAGGCCCUGGUGGUACCCCCUGGUGUAACAGGGUUGAGCCCUGGGUGCUGGAGAGUUAGGGGAAGGUCACAGAUGUAUAGGGGCUGAGUAGCCCAAAUCGGGUUCUUCAACUCCAGAGAGCAUGGAAUCACUUCAGGAGUUUCUCAUUCAGCUAAUUGAAAGUGUGGUUCAGAAGUA